rnacentral:rRNA from 1 species
AACGAACGCUGGCGGCAUGCCUAACACAUGCAAGUCGAACGAGACCUUCGGGUCUAGUGGCGCACGGGUGCGUAACGCGUGGGAACCUGCCCUUAGGUUCGGAAUAACUCCCCGAAAGGGGUGCUAAUACCGGAUAAUGUCUUCGGACCAAAGAUUUAUCGCCUUUGGAUGGGCCCGCGUUGGAUUAGCUAGUUGGUAGGGUAAAAGCCUACCAAGGCGACGAUCCAUAGCUGGUCUGGGAGGAUGAUCAGCCACACUGGGACUGAGACACGGCCCAGACUCCUGAGGGGGGGAGAAGUGGGGAAUUAUGGAAGAUGGGGGAAAGCAUAACCCAGCAAUGCCGGGUAGGUGUUGAAGGCCUUAGGGUUGUAAGGCUCUUUUACCCGGGAUGAUAAUACCGGUCCCGGAGAAAAAGCCCCCGGCAACCUCCGG